rnacentral:rRNA from 1 species
CGGCCGCGUCGACUGCGAACGGGUGAGUAACGCGUAGGUAACCUGCCUUGUAGCGGGGGAUAACUAUUGGAAACGAUAGCUAAUACCGCAUAACAAUGGAUGACACAUGUCAUUUAUUUGAAAGGGGCAAUUGCUCCACUACAAGAUGGACCUGCGUUGCGUCCGCGUCGACGAGCUUAGCUCUCUUGGAUGAGUUGCGAACGGGUCGACGUAACGCGUAGGGUAACCUGCCGUUCGUAGCGGGGAGUAACUAUUGGAAACCGAUACGCUAAUACCGCGAUACAAUGGAUGGAACACUAGUGUACAGGUUUACUUUACGAAAGGGGCAACUUGGCCUCCACUACCGAAGGAUUGGGACCUAGGACGUUCGUUAGUUUAGGACUACGUAGGUUAGACGGUAACGGGCGUCAACCGUAGGUACGUACGGUAAUACCAUUAAGGCCGUAACCGUGUAACGAGGGUCGAGUACGGACCACGACCGUGGAACCUGAGUACACGGCCAGUACUCCGUACGGAGCCGAAGCGUACGGUAGGGAACUCGUUACGGGCAAACGUCGGGGACGUAACCCGUGGACUCCGAGCCAGUUCGACCGUGGUGUCGGUAGAAGGUAACGGUCCUUUUAGGG